ensembl:lncRNA
CUUAAGGAAGAGGACAUUGCUUUAUAAAAAGGGGCGUGGCUUAAGAAAAGGGGGCGUGGCUUAAGGAAGAUGCAAUAGCUUUAUGAAAAGGGGCGUGGCUUAAGAAGGGGGCGUGGCUUAAGGAAGAUGCAAUUGCUUUAUAAAAGGGGGCGUGGCUUAAGAAGGGGGCGUGGCUUGGGCCGGUUUGGCGGGACCCGCAGUUGAAAUAAAAGGGAAUUUUCGGGCUCGGCCCCAAAAUCCGCGGAUUUCGCCCCAAAAUCCGGAAUUUGCCGCAGGGGUGCCCCGGGGCCGCCCCUCCCCCACCAUGGCCGAGCAUCUGCAGCUCCUGGAGGGCGAAGGGUUCCUGGAUCUGUGGAACAUGCUGCCCAAUAACAUCGGUUCCAUGCCUGAGGAUCUGCUGGAAUGGGUGAGCACCAAAAAUUGGGGUCAAAUCUCCAAAAAAUGGGAAAAAUUCCCCAAAAAAUCCCCAAGGUGGGGAGGGAACCCCAAAAGGGAUUGGGGGUGUUCAAAAUCCCCCCAAAAUUGGGAUUUUCCACCCCCAAAAUUUGAAUUUUCUGCCCCAAAAUUGGGAUUUUCCGACCCCAAAAUUGGAAUUUUCUGCCCCAAAAUUGGGAUUUUUUUUCCUCAAAAUUGGGAUUUUUUCACCCCCAAAAUUGGGAUUUUCCACCCCCAAAAUUUGAAUUUUCUGCCCCAGAAUUGGGAUUUUCCACCCCAAAAUUGGGAUUUUUUGCCCCAAAAUUGGGAUUUUUUGUCCCAAAAUUGGGAUUUUUCACCCCAAAAUUGGGAUUUUUCACCCCCAAAAUUUGAAUUUUUUGCCCCAAAAUUGGGAUUUUUUCACCCCCAAAAUUGGAAUUUUUUUACCCCCAAAAUUUGUAUUUUUUGUCCCAAAAUUGGGAUUUUUUCACCCCAAAAUUGGGAUUUUUCACCCCCAAAAUUUGUAUUUUUUGUCCCAAAAUUGGGAUUUUUCACCCCAAAAUUGGGAUUUUUCUACCCCCAAAAUUUGAAUUUUUUGUCCCAAAAUUGGGAUUUUUUCACCCCCAAAAUUGGGAUUUUUUUUACCCCCCAAA